CUUUGUUCUCGUUCUGGAAAGUUGGGUGGACGUCGCAAAGAAUGUGUGUUAGCGCGCCUCAGCUCGUCCACUACGCAGCGGCAUGUAUGCGGGGAGUAACAUCGUCGACGCAGCACCGGCAACUUGGAGAGUGCUUCGCGACCGCGUCGUACCAUUCAAAAGUGGCGAGGCUGUGACCCAUAACAGUGCCUACAUAACGGAGGAGCCACCAGACCCCUUGGCUAUGCCUGCCGUAGUGCAACGUAUAAUCUGGAUGGUCGGGUCAGGUACACCUAGGAAAUGUUGUAUACAUUGGCAACGAUAACUGGGGCCUGCUCCAGUGCCAUCGCCGGGAUUCCCUGUUCUGCAAAAAGCUGACAUAACUGAUGUGGGGAGCCCUGGCGCUCGGUGUAGGAGUAUCACAGGGGCUCCUUGUCGGUGCUUGAAGGACGGCAAUGCUGUUGAGAAGCCGACAUUGAGCCCCGAUAAAUUGGAAGCUGUGGGUAGUUACCGCAUUAUUGACUUGGAAACCAGUGAGGUCUGGAUGCAAGUGAAGCUACCGAGGGAGGCAUGUGUGCAUCACUUGUGCUGCUGGCCAUCCUCUGCAAAAGUGAUGGCUGGCAGUCAGUGCUUGGAUGACUUUCUGUUACUCUACGCCUUGGGCUGUGUUGACUACUUCACACUUGCUGCCAUGUCUGCAAGCUUAGGCAAAAAGACCGGCUGGAUGCUUGGCAGGAGAUAGUAUCCAACCGCAGUGUUACUGUGUUGUGUUGUACAUUACAAAGUGAUGGAGGACAGUAUUUGUGCUGUUAAGAAGUAUAAAUUGUGUUCUGCCAUUGAAAUAAGGGAACUCGACACAAAGCAAAAGAUUUCGAAGUCUGACCUACAUGGGAAAGCAAAAUAUAUUGUGUUGUAGUUGUAGCUGUUAGUAGAGUCUUAAUAUGCGAUAGAAGACCUUGAUGUUUAAUAGCAAAUAUAUUUAAGUGUGUUAUCAGUGUGUUAUCAGUGUUUAAGUUACUGUUAUGUGUCAUUUGUUUGCCAGGAUGAUGUAAGCAGACAGUAAAUAAAUGCAUGGUUUGAGAUUAUAACCAGGUUUGUCUAUGGCAUUCACUAUUAUUUAAGGUGGACCAAUGCAUAUUCAUGGGUGCAUAUUCAACCACCACAUUCCUCCUGCACAAACAAUUCCUACAUACUAGCGUUUGGUCUUAGCAGCUGAUGUUGGCUAUUAUACAAUUUCUUGAAAGCACAUGCAGCUACCGACACAUGAUUUUUAGAGCAGUAAGUCGGAAGCAAAGACUGAUUUUUUUCUGUGGUCUAAGCUUAAAUGAUAUGUUUAAGGAAAUGAACAUUUGUGGAAUAUAUUUACUUUCCUGCUGCGAGAACCUUUAUACGAGAACCUCUGCACAUUGGACGUGCAUGCUGCUUCUCUUGCUGUUAUAGCCAAAAUGAAAAAUUGUUCUUAUGAACCACUUCGCAGCUUUGCAUUGUGCACUUUUACUUGCAGUUAGCAUUUAUAUGCUGUGCUAUGGACAACAGCAAGACAAGUCAGGCAAACCACCAUGUGAAACACUUUAAAGAUUCUGGCUUAGGCGCGUUGGUACUAUAUAUAGUGCAAGACAGAUGAGCUGCCCGUACAGCAGCGCUGUCAGCAUUACACGGCUGACAGCACCGCAAACCCUUUAAUUUAUAUUUGUUUGACAGAUAAUGCAUUCUAGUAGUUUUCAUGUCGUAUAUGCAUGAAAAU